CUCGGGCUGGUGAAGAUUCUCUGUCUUUCGACUUGGAAAUCUUCGUGUGACAUCAGUUAUGAGCACAACUGUCGCUGUUGAUAAAUGUGAGCUAAUCGCUGGCGUCGGACUUUGCAGCUCCACUCAUCGAUCACACCUCGUGUUGCUGAGUGGAGAGGAAACGGUUUCAUCAUGGACUCUUCAAACUUGAAUUGACCUGAAUGCUUUUGGUUCCCACUGAAUGAUCCUGCUUAUUCACAACUACGCAGUAGGGUUACACUGGCGUCCUUUAAAUAAAAGCCCACCCCACAUAGCGCCACGCUCCCUUCUUGCCCCAAAGCAAAGGUGAGAUUUGCAAAGAAAAGGUGAGACGCUCUCCAUUUUG